CACAAAGGUUUAAAAUAGUGUAUAUUGGUAUAAACGUUUAAUAAAAAUGCAUACAUACGUAACCCAUGGUCGGCAUGGAAUUUUGUCACUUGGCACAGUACUUUAAUAUUUUUUAAUGUUUGUCCCACAUUAAAAUAUAUUGAGUCAAUGACAGUGCAACUGUUCAUAUUAAAACGUUCUAAUCACAUUUUACAUGCACAUUUGUAUUCAGUAGUAAUCUUUUCAUAAAGGUACAUCAAAGUCCC